UACGGGGGGAGCAAGCGUUGUUCGGAUUUACUGGGCGUAAAGGGCGCGUAGGCGGUCGUGACAAGUCACUUGUGAAAUCUCCGGGCUUAACUCGGAACGGUCAAGUGAUACUGUCGGACUAGAGUACAGAAGGGGCAACUGGAAUUCUCGGUGUAGCGGUGAAAUGCGUAGAUAUCAAGAGGAACACCUGAGGUGAAGACGGGUUGCUGGGCUGACACUGACGCUGACAGCGCGAAAGCCAGGGGAGCAAACGGG
rnacentral:rRNA from 1 species